rnacentral:rRNA from 1 species
UUCCGGUUGAUCCUGCCGGACCUGACUGCUAUCGGAUUGAUACUAAGCCAUGCGAGUCAUUGUAGCAAUACAAGGCAGACGGCCCAGUAACGCGUAGUCAACCUAACCUAUGGACGGGAAUAACCUCGGGAAACUGAGAAUAAUGCCCGAUAGAACACUAUGCCUGGAAUGGUUUGUGUUCCAAAUGAUUUAUCGCCGUAGGAUGGGACUGCGGCCUAUCAGUUUGUUGGUGAGGUAAUGGCCCACCAAGACUAUUACAGGUACGGGCUCUGAGAGGAGUAGCCCGGAGAUGGGUACUGAGACACGGACCCAGGCCCUAUGGGGCGCAGCAGGCGAGAAAACUUUGCAAUGUGCGAAAGCACGACAAGGUUAAUCCGAGUGGUUUGUGCUAAACGAACCUUUUGUCGGUCCUAGAAACACCGAUGAAUAAGGGGUGGGCAAGUUCUGAUGUCAGCCGCCGCGGUAAAACCAGCACCUCAAGUGGUCAGGAUGAUUAUUGGGCCUAAAGCAUCCGUAGCCGGCUCUGUAAGUUUUCGGUUAAAUCUGUACGCUCAACGUACAGGCUGCCGGGAAUACUGCAGAGCUAGGGAGUGGGAGAGGUAGACGGUACUCGGUAGGAAGGGGUAAAAUCCUUUGAUCUAUUGAUGACCACCUGUGGCGAAGGCGGUCUACCAGAACACGUCCGACGGUGAGGGAUGAAAGCUGGGGGAGCAAACCGGAUUAGAUACCCGGGUAGUCCCAGCUGUAAACUAUGCAAACUCAGUGAUGCAUUGGCUUGUGGCCAAUGCAGUGCUGCAG